rnacentral:rRNA from 1 species
CCUACGGGUAGCAGCAGUGAGGAAUAUUGGUCAAUGGGCGGGCGCCUGAACCAGCCAAGUCGCGUGAGGGCUGACGGCCCUAUGGGUUGUAAACCUCUUUUGCCGGGGAGCAAAGUGCCGCACGUGUGCGGUUUGGAGAGUACCCGGAGAAAAAGCAUAGGCUAACUCCGUGCCAGCAGCCGCGGUAAUACGGAGGAUGCGAGCGUUAUUCGAAUUUAUUGGGUUUAAAGGGUACGUAGACGGAAGCUUAAGUCAGCGUGAAAAUUGCGGGGCUAAAACUCGUCGAGCCUUUGACACGGGGUGCAUUGAGUGGGCGAGAAGUACGCGGAAUGCGGGGUGUAGCGGUGAAAUGCAUAGAUAUCACGCAGAACUCCGAUUGCGAAGGCAGCGUACCGGCGCCCAACUGACGCUGAAGCACGAAGGCGUGGGUAUCGAACAGGAUUAGAUACCCUUGUAGUC